UCCAUAUGAUUGGAUUAACAAACAAAAGUCCAAUCAACAUUGGCUUAAAAAAGAAGGGGAGAAGUUUCUCUUUCCUGGUGGUGGUACAAUGUUUCCUAAUGGAGUUGGUGCCUAUGUUGAUUUGAUGCAAGAUUUGAUUCCGCAAAUGAAAGAUGGGACAAUCCGAACUGCCAUUGAUACUGGAUGUGGGGUAGCAAGCUGGGGAGGUGAUUUACUGGAUCGUGGAAUUUUGACAGUCUCUCUUGCCCCAAGGGACAAUCACCAGGCUCAGGUUCAGUUUGCUCUGGAACGUGGA
rnacentral:misc_RNA from 1 species